CUUGGUUCCCAGGACUUGAAUUGUUCAUUUUAGUUUUUCCAUAUAAUAUAGGGCUGUCAGCAGGUUGGACUAAGUGCAGAAUGCAGAUACAAUGUCAUCCAAGUUCUAAUAAUAUAUACCUAAAUCCAAAAAUGCAGACUGCUGCUUUAAAGUUGUGGCUGAGUUUUGUUCUGAAUAAAAUAUAAAAUUGAAUAAGAAAGAAAGUAAUAUACUAAUAGAAAUUAAUUUUUAAAUAAAAAGGCUAAAUUUUCACGAGUAAAGAUUAUUAUUUUUAAACAUGUAAAAUUUCAUGAUUGAUUUCUAAAACCAUGUGAAAUUAUAUUGAUUAUACUCUACCCUAGUCUCUAUUGAAUCUGAUUAUAAGUAAAUCUUAAAAAUUGUAGUCCCUCCUGCUUAUCUAUCUUUUCUUUGGGAGAUGUCCACAUUCUAAAAUGAGUUUACAAAAUGAUACUUCUCAAAUUUUCCUAAAAAAUUUGUGCCUUUUUGAAUAUUUUGAAAAGUGUUCGAUAAAAUCCAACAAAUUUCAAAUAAGUCUGGUGAGCAAGGGGUUAGGAAGCUUAAUUCUGUUUUGAAAGAUUGAAAAUCUCUGUUCUUGGGAGAUAGGCAUGAGAUGCUCCUGGAAUAUCACCCUCUGAGAAUGAGAAAUGGCAGGGUUGUUGUAUUCCCUCCUCAAGAAGUUAUUGAGGUUGUGCAACUGUCUACAUGUUUGGUAUGCCAAUUUCUUGAUAAACAGUUAUCAUUUUCUCUGGUAAAGAGGUCUGUUCAGACUUUGUGGAAGCCAUUUGGUGGGGUGGAGGUGCUCACUUUUGAGAAUGGCCUUUUCUUGUUCAAAUUUGUUUUGGUUCAAGAUCGGGAUGCUAUCCUUGAUGCCAGAUUAUGGUAUGUGGCCAACAAUCCUCUCUUUCUUUGAAGAUAGCAGCCUGGUUUGCAACUCAAUAAUCUAAAGUUGGGCAAAAUUCCUUUCUGGGUGAAAUUUCUGCAACUGCCUAUAGAGUUAUGGACCCCCAAGUGCUUGAGUUAUUUAGCAAGUGGUGUGGGAAGGCCAUUAUAUGCUGAUGCAGUCACUGAACUACACCAGAGGCUUGGAUAUGCUAGAGUUUGUGUGGAAGUUGGAUUUGAUGAUGAACUUCCUGAUUCCUUGGUUGUUUUUUUUUUUUUUUUGGGAACCUUGGUUGUUGAAUUGCCUGAUGGAAAGACCUCGGAAGUUGGAAUUGAGUAUCCAUGGAAGCCUGAAAAUGUUUGCAUUGCAAAGCGUUGGGUCACUUAUCCAAAUGCUGUCCUUCUAAACCUUCCAAGACUUGGGUUCCCAAGGAUAAGGGUCAGGUUGACAGGACCUCCCUCCUCUCCAAAGAAAUCUGUGGCUGGGUGUGGAGGAAUUUUUUUGUCACCUAAUAGAUUUGGCCCUCUUUAGGUUGGGAAUGGUAAUGAUGAGGAGGGUCUACAGGAGCAGAUCUCUGUCCUCAGGAAAGAUGACUUGAGUGCAUUUCAAUAAAGCUAAAAUUUCUGAGUCUACUGGUGGUACUGUGAAUGAUGUUGUCCCUGUCCUCUAGAUACUGGAAUAAAAGACCCCAAUGUUGCAUUUGUGGUGUCUCCCAAUGCUAGGCAAGGAAAUAGGAGAGUCACUAGAGCUCAAGUGGCUGCUGGGGAGAAAGCUGAAGGCUGUGUGGAAGGGGCUCUAGGCCAGUUCACUCUAUUGGAAUUUAUGGAUGCUGCCAUAGAGAAGGGAGCUAAACUAAAGCAAAUAAAAACUGUGAAAGCCUAGGAAAAGGGCAAGAUUGUGCUUAACCCUGUUAGUACUCUAAUGGUGAGUGAUGUGAACAGUUUACUUGAAAAUGGUUAGAUGAUAGUGUUGGAAUGCGAGGGGUCUAAACGAUCCUUCUAAACAAAGAGAGGUAAAGAAAUUAAUUAGGGAUCGAAGAGUUAAUUUGGUUUAUUUAGUUGUGACAAAGGUUAGAGAUUGGAAUGCCCUACAGAUAAAAGAGCCCUUAUUUCCAAAUUGGGGUUUCCUCAAUAAUUAUGAUAAUCAUGAAUUAGGAAGAGUUUGGGUGUGUUGAAACGCUAACAUUUUCCAUGUCUCAAUGGUGUUAAAAGACCAAUCAAGUCAUCCAUUGUGGUUCUUUCUAAUUAAGCAAAAUGGGAAGCAUCUUUUGUUUAUGGUGCAAACUGUGGUUUUAAAAGGCAGGAGCUGUGGCAAGCCAUAUAUGGAUUACAAUACAAUGGAGGACUAGAGAUAAACCUUGGGUGGUUUUGGGGGAUUUCAAUGUAGUUAAAGACUCAAGUGAGAGUUUUGGGGGAUUGAGUAACUCUGGUUUUAAAGCUGAAUUUGCUAACUGGAUGGGUGUUCAAGGACUAUUUGAUCAUCCUUAUAUUGAUGUUCUGUUCUCUUGGAGUAAUAAGAGAGAUGCUACUAUUAUCACUCUUGGCUGCUAUUUAUUCUUUCUUCUCCUCAUCUAAGCUCCUAGGUGAAUUGAAUGCUACCACUAUCACUCUCGUACCUAAGGACCUACUCGCUCGAGAAUGGACUGUCCUUUCUCAUCGUCACAUAUACCAUGAAGAGAAUGGAAUGGCAGAUGGACUAGCAAUGAGGGGAAGGGAGCAGUCGUGCACUAUACAAGAAUAUAAUCAAUGUCCAUCUUUUGUGCAUUAUAACUAUAUAUGGGACAUUUUGAAAAAAGGAACUCCGCAGAAGUGUCCUAUGGACUAAAGUUGAUGUAAUAGUGCUCUCUAUUAUUAAUAAAUAAAUCCCCUCUUUCUACCAAGAGAGAGAGAGAGAGAGAAAAGAAAGAGCAGAGCUCUUUCAUUUUUGUGCUGCUGUAAUGAUAUUGGUUAGGAAGAAGGAAUCUUAAAUGCAUUUGUAGUACGUAUAACCUAAAUGACCUAGUAAUGAUAUUGUGACAUUCGAUAUUAAGUAUCUUUUAUAAUCACUCUCUAAUUUUUAUAUUUGGUCAUAUAUA